rnacentral:misc_RNA from 1 species
AUUCCCUGCAUACUUUGAGUACAAAACAGUGUUCCCUGGGGAGGCGGAUACAGGUUUCCGCUUGCCUUCCUCAUCAAGAGGUCCGGGUCCAACUGCUAUUACUGUGCCAAUGGAAGGUUUCUCUUUGGCUGCCUCUGUCAGCAGCAAGCCUCCUGCAGUCUUCUCCUCAGCUUCAGCUACCUUUAUAAAUACUCUAUCAGUCAAAG